UCUUUCUUUGGCAUUUAGCGGAUUUCUGAAUAUCGUUUUGUUAUUUUCUUGUUUAUGUCUCUUGUUUCCUUUUGUCUCCCCAGGACCCCUGGGCAGAGCCCUCCUAUUCCUACAGGAGAUCUCCAGCCUCACUGUGGAGAGAAAGAGAGAGGCUGAGGGAAGCAUCUGGUGGAAAUGAAAUCUGAGCCAUGAAACACUGAGGAAGAUAUUGCAUUGAAUGGGAGGCCAGCAGGGUACCUGGUGCCCUUUUAGCACCCACCUGCAACACUCCACUCACUUCUAUGCUUUUCCUCAUGAAGAAUUUGCUGCACAAUGACCAAGGCUUAUACCUGAUAAGAAAGGAAAAUUCCAAGAGAUGGCAACAACCUCCUUCUUUUUCAGCUGCCCAGUUUUUUAGUAUUGUUCAAAAGAUGAUUUCUCAGGUUUACUUAGUUUUCAUUCAUAUCAUUCUUAAAAUAUGCAAGAAAUAUUUAGUGAAGACCAUCAAUGAAAAGAAAAAGGACUACAGAACACUCUUGAAUAUGCAACUAAUUAUUUUUGACUGCUUUUCCAAAAGGACUGUACUUUAAAUAAUAGGCUGCUUUUGUAGAGCAUCUCUCAGAUGCAGACUUCAAAACGUGCUAGGCAAAUUGUCUCAACAUGUCUGUGGGCUAGGUAAGUACUAUUAAACCCUUUUUACAGAUGGAGAAAGCUGAACAUCAGAGAGUCAAGAAUAUUUCUUUCCAGCUUUGGUGUUGUUACAAAAGGACUGUCAGAGCAGAGAGUAUUGUGUUAAAUUCCACCCACUAGGUCCAAUUUAGCCUUUUGCCUUUCCAGCAGAGGAGUCUGUUACAGCUCCAUCUUUUCAAGUCACGGGUUAUAAGGCAGGGAUGGGUUGUUCUUUUCUGACACAUACAACAUGUAUCUGAAGUUAACUGAAAGCUUCUAAGUUAAAGGUUUCAUAAAUAUGUCAGAAUGCAGGUAGUCCCUCCUGAAGUUCCUCAGCUUGAGACUGUACAACACACCACCAUGUUGCUUGUGUUCACAGUGUGAAUAUAUGACCCUCCAAUGUUAGUAGUUAGUGGUUUUUAGUAGUUAGUGUAGUAGUUAGUGUUCUUUACGUAUCACAGGCAACCUGGGUAUGGAUUACUGGAUGCAUCUAAUCAGCAACCUUACUUCAUGUGGUUUCUCCAACAGAUACUAAAAACAAAGGCCAGAGACUAACAAGAAAGUUAAGUUCAUGGUGGAAAGAGAAACCUAAAAGCACAGGAGUCUGUAAAGUCUAAAAGCAAUUUUCAG
rnacentral:lncRNA from 1 species